UCCGGUAUGGUUUAGUGGCAGAAUUCCCUGCCCUUACAAUAAUAGGUAACUGGGGAGACCCAAGUUCGAUUCUUGGCGCUAGAC